AUAAAAUCGAAUUAACUAAUUUAAUAAAUAUUAAUACUUUUUUGUUUCUUUUUUUUUAAACUAAAUGUGAAUUGGAAAACGUAUACAACUUGUGCAUGACAAACGUGAAUACUCCAAUGUACACAACCACAUACAAGAAAAAAAAACCAAUAAACGCUCUGUUCUCUCUCCUCCGUUCACACAAAAAACCCCAUUUGAAACCUAGAACUCACCAAAGUUCCGGCGCCGCGGCCGGUUCUCCGGCGAGUUCCCUUUCCUUUUUUUUCAAGUAUUAUACUACUCGUGUUCUAGUUUGGUGAAGUUGAAGCGUAACCAAGCUCCAUGAAGAGCUUCGAACUCCGUUUAGUGCUACCCUCUUCUCACCGGAAAGGUUAAUUGUUACCGUCAGUUUUCCGAUAGAUAGACGAGGAAGCCUUGUUCCACCAGGAAUUCUCGCCGCUUAGAAGAAGGAUCUAGGUUCAGAUUUGUGUGUUCAGGGGACGAAAUUGACAAUUUUAGGGGUCUUGGGCAAACUCUAACGCCGCCGUCGGGGGGUUGCCGGAAAAAAGGAAAUCGCGACGGUGUUUGGUGAAGUUAGGGUUUCGUAGAUUUCUUGAGCUCAGUUUCAAAAUUCUCUGUUCUGGUUAUCUUCUUUGGUUUUGGCGAGUUUCGAAAUUGCUCUGAAGUUGGCUCUGUCUAUGAUGGGUUUUGUACUCAUUACAUUCAAAUUUUCAAAUCUGUACGCUACUCCCAUAUUAUUUGGGGUUCAUAGUAUGCUACCAAUCAUGAAUUUCUUUCCUUUAAAAGAGAGAAAUCAAGUUACUUGUUACCGUGAUAUUACCUUCCUUUCGUUUCUUGCUUUGGUUUUGUUUUCCAAGCUCCACAAGUUACAAAGAGUUUCUACCAUGGUUAAUUACCCAAGCUUCACCCUUGGUGGAAAAAGGACACCGGGAAUAACAUGUAAUGUAGGCUUCGGCUCGCUAGAAUCACGACAGUGUUGCCUACAAAGUGGUUCCAACACUCAUGGGAUAACUAAGAAAGCAGUUUCUUUUAAGUUGGUUUGUUAUCUUGUGUUCAUAAGAGAGUUACUUGUUACCGUGAUAUUACCUUCCUUUCGUUUCUUGCUUUGGUUUUGUUUUUCAAGCUCCACAAGUUAAAAAGAGUUUCUACCAUGGUCAAUAAUUACCCAAGCUUCACCCUUGGUGGAAAAAGGACACCGGGAAUAACAUGUAAUGUAGGCUUCGGCUCGCUAGAAUCACGACAGUGCUGCCUACAAAGUGGUUCCAACACUCAUGGGAUAACGAAGAAAGCAGUUUCUUUUAAGUUGGUUUGUUAUCUUAUGUUCAUAAGAACAAGUGUUGCUCGUAGCUUUGUUAUUGUAAAGGUCUUAAUAGGCCUAAUUCUUAUUGUUUUAGCUAACUCUUUCAAUAUACGCAAAUUAAUCCUUUGUCAAAAAAAAAGAGAGAAAAAAAUAAAAUAAAAAAAUACAGG